AACAUGAAGAUGGGUAUAGAGACCCUGUGGGCCCAGGAGGUGAUCGACAUCAUAGAGAAGUACCAGCAGGGACACCAAGCUGGGACACUGGUGAAAAACUGGGAUGAGGAGUUCAAAAUCUACAGACGCAUCGACCGGCUCGGGUUGCUGCAUGAGAAGGAGCUUCCCCGUGUCACCACCCA